GGGUUGGUGGCUAAAUAAGGAAAGCGCGUGUUUUUAAACCGCAGAUGCAAGGAGGGUUCGAGUCCCCACCAAUUAG
rnacentral:tRNA from 1 species